GGGGAUGCACAGCCAUCGCCCAGUGGCUGUAUCCGGGGCCGGGGUCCGAAAUCUCAGCCCCGAGCGAUGCACAGCUGUUAUUACUCCAUCACCUGAGCAGCUCCAGGUCUAAAAAGCAACAUAUCCCUCCAGCCCUUUGCUGCUGUCCUACAAAGAGGUGCGAGCCUGGAGGAAAACACGAACCACUGACCUUCCUCACUAGAGGCAGGAACAUUGCCCAGUGAAUUGCAGUGUCACUUAAUGCCUUAUCCUGGAUGUAAAUGCUCACGUGGUUUAUGGAGCACAAGGUGGAGCAAUAAAACACAAGUUAUUCAUCUCAAGGCUGUCUUACAUCAAGAGAGGCAGGACUCUACCAAUUGUGAGUUAUAUCAGUGGUGCUUAUCACCACUCUAAAAGGGGGCUGUUGCUCAUCGAACAACGUUAAAACAAAGCAGAAGAGAAAUGUGGAAUACUAAGGUGGAAGCACUGCUGUAACAGUAGCCACAUGGCGUGGUCAGAGAGGAAUGGCAGAGGCAUGGAGCAGAGUCCCGAAGCAGUCCCUUGUCUCAGCUGAGGAGAGGAGCAUCCGCACCAGCCCCUUGCAGGGAGAGACAGCCUGUCCGUGUCCCUUGCUGGAGCAGGACUGUGUGUCCCCACGGGCUCCCCUCUAGCAUAGCCUUUUCCCACCUGAGACGUAAAUCCAGAAGAAAACUUCCUGGUGACCAGAAACAGAAUCACAACCCAAUGAGCUUCUCAAAAGCAUCUACAUAGGAAGAGAGCAUAUUGGGCAGCACUUACUGGAGACUCCUGCUGCUUCCGACUGUGGUGUUUCAGGACAGAGAGCUUCAGAAGGAGGUCGUGGUUCAGAUCCCAUGGCAUUACUGAGGCAAUGGUGAUCUGUUGAACACCAACUCUCAG
rnacentral:lncRNA from 1 species